rnacentral:lncRNA from 1 species
GGCGACUGUGCACCUACUUGAAGAACUAUCCGAAAACUUCUUCAGUGAAGUGCCGAAUCUACUUCCCUGAGUUUGGAAUCACAUUAACUGUUCCAACAUUGUCAUCGGAUGGUCCAGUCCUGGAGCUUAUGGCUACUCUGGUGACGGAGCAACGCUGCUGCCACAGACGUUCUUCUGCUACAUCUCAGAUCAACUACCUGCCGUUUGCCUUUGUGUGGAUGGUUCCAGCGUGAACGAGGAAUACAACCGUGGAGUGUAGUACUGCUCUGGCCAUGAAGACGUGGUGUUGGCACCUCAUUGUCUUGCAGCGGCUGCUCAGGUGAUUCCGGAACUUGAACCUGGAUUUUGAUUGCGCACCGUGGAGAAAAGAUCUGCCUUCUAGCUACCAGCUUCAAAGCAGCUCAUCGAAUCGCAGAGUGAGUGAGCGAGGCUAACAGCCUCGCGGUGAGGGUGAAAUGUGUCCAAGGGACCGUUUGUCCAAAUAAACAUAAUUGAUGGGAGCUUGAGCAUUAUAUUGGCAAUAACUAAAAUUAGGUAAACACUCUAUUCCACAGUUAUCAGCAGUGCACAGUACUUCACAAUUCGGCCUAAGGUUCCUUGGACCAUCACCACAGCGGGUCGUGUCAGUGACGGAAACAUGAGGUGCUACGUUGCGUAUUAGUUAGAGGCUUAGCGGUCGUCCGGCAGAACUAGCAGAUAGGCUUUGCGCCUUAUGUUUGCGUUACGGACAUUGGCCUAUUCCGAAUGCACUUGCAACGAAGUCCCUUUAUCGUGUCAAGGAAUGCCCGUGCGCGAAAAGUGCUCUUGAACGAUGAAUUGAUCCUAGUUUCAAUGGCAUUCGGAAUUCUCGCCAACCACAUCGAGCUACACCGAAGAAAGGACGUUGCCUACGGACUGCGGCACAUCGUGCAUUCCGUCGCAGCAACGGUACUGUGGCUGACCGCUUUCCGACAAAUGUUAUAACGGUCGCUCACAACGGAGCUUUCGGCGCAUUGACUGUUUACUCGGCUGCCAUGUAUGAAAGCGAUACGACUUUUCUGCUCACUUUAUUAACAAGUUUUUCUAGCCUUUAAUUUUUGCAGAUUGGUUGGCCUGGCCUUAUUCCAAGUGCAGUUCCACUAAGGGCAUGACGGUGCUCUGCGAUUCUCGGAUAUAACCAGUCAUGGUCCUUAGCUGUACUUCGGUCGUCAGUCACUCCUGCCACCGCCAUUUUCCUUGGCUAGCACUUAGCAGAUGUCCGGACAGCUUGGAACCACAGAACAAUUGGCGACUGUGCACCUACGUGAAGAACUAUCCGAAAACUUCUUCAGUGGAGUGCCGAAUCUACUUCCCUGAGUUUGGAAUCAUUUGAACUGUUCCAACGUUGUCAUCGGAUGGUCCAGUCCUGGAGGUUAUGACUACUCUGGUGACGAAGCAACGCUGCUGCCACAGACGUUCUUCUGCUGCAUCUCAGGUGAACAACUUCAGUUGCUUGAAUUUCCUUUUGCUAAGGUGCUCGUGUUUUGGAUAUUAGCAUAUUCCGCUUAGAGUAUACCCUUGCCGCGACGGU